rnacentral:rRNA from 1 species
AUAACACGAGGAAACUUGUGCUAAUACCUCAUAAGUCUUUACGGAGAAAGCUUUAUGCGCCAAAGGAUGAGCCUGCACUUGAUUAGUUUGUUGGUGGGGUAAUGGCCUACCAAGACUUUGAUCAAUAGCUGAUCUGAGAGGAUGAUCAGCCACAUUGGGACUGAGACACGGCCCAAACUCCUACGGGAGGCAGCAGUAGGGAAUAUUGCACAAUGGAGGAAACUCUGAUGCAGCGAUGCCGCGUGAGUGAAGAAGGCCCUUGGGUUGUAAAGCUCUUUCGUCGGGGAAGAAAAUGACUGUACCCGAAUAAGAAGGUCCGGCUAACUUCGUGCCAGCAGCCGCGGUAAUACGAAGGGACCUAGCGUAGUUCGGAAUUACUGGGCUUAAAGAGUUCGUAGGUUGUUAAAAUAGUUGGUGGUGAAAUCCCAGAGCUUAACUCUGGAACUGCCAUCAAAACUUUUUAGCUAGAGUAUGAUAGAGGAAAGCAGAAUUUCUAGUGUAGAGGUGAAAUUCGUAGAUAUUAGAAAGAAUACCAAUUGCGAAGGCAGCUUUCUGGAUCAUUACUGACACUGAGGAACGAAAGCAUGGGUAGCGAAGAGGAUUAGAUACCCUCGUAGUCCAUGCCGUAAACGAUGUGUGUUAGACGUUGGAAAUUUAUUUUCAGUGUCGCAGCGAAAGCAUUAAACACACCGCCUGGGGAGUACGACCGCAAGGUUAAAACUCAAAUGAAUUGACGGGGACCCGCACAAGUAGUGGAGCAUGUGGUUUAAUUCGAAGAUACGCGCAGAACCUUACCAACACUUGACAUGUUCGUCGCGACUUUAAGAGAUUAAAGUUUUCGGUUCGGCCGGACGAAACACAGGUGCU